UUUGUAUUGGUGCCACAGAGCAGUUUAGAUAGCGUUCGAAGCGGUAUUCUACACGUUGGCAUCGCACUAAAGGAAAGUACUGCGACUGGUGCGAGUAAUGUGAUGAGAGCAGUCAAAUGAUGAAUCGUUCUGUCUCGUGUACACGUGAUGAAUUACUUUGGGGAAACUCUAUGUAUAGAGCGUAAUGCAGACAUUUAAUCCGAGAAAUUACCCAUUUUUCAAAACUCUGGCAACAUUUGUGAAAGGGAGGAAUUUAUGCGCAAACCCUCUGACUCACAACGCGCCAUUAACCCGCUGAAGGUUAUUCGGGUCAAAUUUUAUGGACAAAAGUUAUAAACAACGUAUAUGAGUGGUAUUUUAUACUGGAAACUAUUUAGAAUGGUUUUAUAGCGCAAUAACCCGGUAGAAAUAAUUCGAACCGACUUUUCAGACUUUCCCGCCCUCACACCCGCCACUACAACUCCUGUGAGC